UAAAAGAGUGAAAAGCUCAGUAAUCGUUUUUGGACGGUGCUCUGCAAUUCGAGACCAUGGCCGUCGGUGAGGUUCUACAGAUUACGCAUGGUGUUCUGUGUAGUUAUACGGUACCCUGCACCUUGUCUCAGGAGAAUGAUCCCAUCUUUGCUGUGUUCUAGACGCGCUAUUUGGCAUUUGCUGCGCCUGCGUGCUAUGUUGUUCCUUGAUCGUUACGGCGCAACAUGUUUUUGCAGAUUGCCGUUUGUUUGUGACCGGAUGAACUUAAUGGUGUAUAGUAAAACAAUCUGUCAAGAGGACAAAGUUGAGAAGGGUUUGAUGUUGAAACUCCUGGAAUGAUUACAGCAUCCCAAUCCUUUAAUCAAGCAUUUCCAGAUUUGUCUUGGUGUUAAUCAACCUAGAACCUAUAUUGCAAUAAUCAACAAAAAAUAGUUACUUACAGAAAUAGAGUUUCUUAUUUAUGGCACUUAGCUACUUUUUCUUACAUUCACUUCAAAUACUUGUAUAUGUUGCCAUCUAUACCUUUACAAAUCCACAAGGAAGUAGAAUGCUAAUCCAAUUGGUACUGCUAUGAGCAAACCAAAGAUAACCCUACAUACAGGAAACAGUAACAGUUUAGAUGUAUAUGAUUAGUUGUUAAUAUUACUAAAAGUAUUAAUUUACCCUGUGCUCAGUAUGUCUGGAUGUAGAUUAUACUCCUUGGCAAAUACAAAUGGAACUAUCCCCUGAGGCAGAGCUGCCUGCAUAAAACUUAUAAAUAGUAUUUGGUUAGUGAAAUAUAAGGUAAAAUGACUGUCACAAAGGAAACAGUAUGCCCCUUAUUGCCUGCACAAUUGCCACUUUGAGCAGAGUUCCUCUUAGUCCAAGUGAGAUGGAGGGCACUGCCAUGAGGGAUGGUCCGGCUAUAAAUUUCAUGGCCAUGGCUAAUAAUGCUUUUCGGGUACCACAGGCAAUCACUCUGGCUUGCGAUGCCAUGAAGAGGCCUAUCAAGCAAUAAACGAAAGCAAAUGGUAUCCUUUCACUAGACGUGCAAUGGAUCUGAACAGCUUCAAAACUUACCUAAGCUGAACAUAGCCAUUCCAAGCCCUCCAUCAGACAGCAGCCCUACUGAAUUUUGAACUACUUUUGGAAAGUUUACUGACCACCUGCAUUCAUUUUAGAGUCAUGAUUCAUCUGUUAUACUUUGCCAAAAAAAAUAGUUAAUACCAGGCAUCCUGAUUCUUUGGUGCAAAUUUUUUUUAAUUUAAAGAAAACAUCCCAAUUAUGGUAUUAGUUUUACUUUGUGCUGCAUGACUGAAUCUACAGCCGGGAUCCAGUUUCUAGUCUUAAGAACAAACCAGUUGUUUCUUUUUCAUCACUCACUGGGCAAAAUGAUAGUCAAAACUCAACCACAGGUGUGAUGUCAUUUAUUUCGAUAAUUCAUCUGGGAGUAUGUAUUUUUUAAUGUAAAGCUCAACACCGAGUUUAUGCCAAUGCUUGGUAUUCCUGUGUUAUAUUCUUACGACAUCUCAGAGAAUCUUUUAUUAAGCUGCGGUAAGUUGUGAGUAUAUUGUAUUUAGUGCAUCUAGUUGCUCAGAACCAAAUACUGACCAGGCUAUAUAAAGAUACAGCAUUCUUAUUACCUGUAGUGUAUGCUUGCCCAUAUAAGGCCUAUCAGAGUGGCAUGAGUGUUGGGGUUUCGGAUAAGCUUUUUUCCUACGGACAAAAGAAUACUUCUAAAGUUGUUUUUCCUCUGAUAGUUAGUUCUUCCAUUUUCUUUGUCUGCAUCUACUUGUUCUGGUCCUUCAGGGUCUUCUGAAUCUCCUUCAAAGAGAAAUUAUCAUUCUGAACAUAAUUGCAAGAUUUAAAGAAAAAUAGGAAAAUAGUGGAAUAAUGAAACAUGUUUUUGUUAUUCUUAUAGCAUUUCAGUUCACAUCUUAACAUUGAAAGUGAAGAAGAAAAGUUGAGUCAUGAGUGUGCAUGGUUGUUUUUUUUAAUGUUUCUCCUAAUUGAGAAAAUGUGCUUUUUGUGGAGAGAGCAUACUUGAAACAUUGGGGGAUGCAGGAAAGCAUGCAAUGUUCCAGGCAGUUUCUAGGAAGGUUCUAACUUUUUAACAUUUUGAUGCAAAGUUUUGAAACUGCAGAGUGCAGAGCUAAGUGUUCAGGGACGCAGGGUUAUGAAGGGGGUUAGUCUGUGACAAGACCAUCACUAAUUGAAUAUUCUUGGUAAAACAAUAAUGGUUGAAUGCGGGAUAUACCAUACAUUGUUUUUGCUCUAUAGUAGAUACUAUCCUGAGAUCACUGGAGUUAAUGAUGUUGUGUAGCUAGCUAAAAUAAAGAUUAUCGGAAAGGGAUGGAUUUAUAGUAUGAGUCAGAUGUGAUGCCUCAAAAAUUAUGUUGUAGUGACAAUAGCAAACUCAAAACCUAACAUGACACGUAAAAAUUAUAGAGAGCUUAAGCAAUGAAAUGAUACAUAGUCUCUUCAGAUUUAAUGGGAGGAACACGUCUGUAGAAGCUACUGAUGUAUAAAAUUAAAGAAUCAUCUGAAGAUAUUAUCUUUGCAUACCUGUUACUUCUGCUGGUGGUGUCACUUCAAUGGAUUCCAUCACAGCAUCUAUUUCAAAAAGAAUUAGAAGUAGGUUGUACCAAAUUACACUUUGUAACACAACUAUCUGAGCCAGGAGAUUAGCUGCUUCCUUCCCAUACAUAGCCUGAAGUAGUGGGAUUCCUAGGAUUAAUGUAUUAGGCAAUGUUGACAAGGAAAGGCCUGUUAUGACCCAACUUAGGUGUCCUCUGGACUUUAUUUUGGUAAUUACCACCAAUAUGAUGAAAGCAAGAAGUUUCUGAAGUAUAUCGGCGGAAACAAGUUUCAGGUUCAUUUUGUAGGGAUUGUUUGAUGAUAUCACCUUGAAGGAUAGAAGGGGAAUCGCAAAAUUUGCAACAAACUUGUUGAUGCCUGCGCAUUGUUCUGGUGUAAAAAUUUUCCACCAUUUAAUGGAUAGAUAGGCUGCUAUCAUGGCAACAUACAGGGGGAUGAUUGCAGCAAUAAUAUGUAAGACAUCAACUAGGGAUAUCAUGACUCUUAUUAGUUGGAACUAAUGACCAUUGCCUUUGUAUAUUUUUGGUCCUUGUCCACAAGGCUUUAUAUAAAUAUUUUGAUUGGAUGGCUGAUUAUUGAAGAAAAAAAGUAGCAGAUUGCCUCUUUUCAGAGAAUCUAUCAGGCUACCCUAUGUGUUUUAACACAAAUCCUCUGAACAAGUUUCUUAAUGAUUUCUUAUUCGGAUCAAUAUUUGUUUAAGUAGAGGUUACAAAGAAUUUCUGUGAUUGACAGUUUACUGUAAUCAGCCAAUGCAUAAAGUUGAUUCCAGUUUUCUUCUUGCAGUUAUGUUCUUUUUGCCUUAUUGGUUUAAAGCCUAAAAAAGCUAGGUUAUAGGCUUAGAUGUGAGAAUACACCUGAAGGAAAAUAAGUUCUUGUUUUGGUGAAUCAGUUCCUUUGUUUAUCCUUUUUUUUUUUAAAUUCUAAAUGAUUCAAGUGUUAUAUAAUGAUUUUUUUGCCAGAAAUUUUAGAUCUGUCUUCUUAUUAUUUUUCCUUCUAACUUUGAAACCAUGGAAUACUUUUUGCUGCCAAACUCUCUAGAAAUCCUUUAUUUCAUUUUAUUUGUUUGAUAUGUUUGUAUUGUGAAAUUAGCAUGAAUAUUAUGCGAGGUCGAUUUUCCGAGGAUAAGCAACAAAGAGGAAUAAAGAAGUGCAUUGGAAAGGAAGUAAUGAAAUGUUUUAGAGUCAUGACUACAGUGAAUAAAGAAUUUUUGCUAUAUAUGUUAAAAGUGUGAGAAUAAGUGUUGUUGAGAACUGCUUUCUAAAGUUUGAAAUUUUGCCAGAAAAGCCCAGCCAUUUCUUCUUCAAGCUCCCUUCAAUCACAUUAAACACAUCUUUAUC